GUCUAUGGCCAUGCCACCCUAAACACGUCCGAUCCCGUUUUAUCUCGGAAGCUAAGCAGGGUCGGCCUGGUUAGCACUUGGAUGAGAGAUCAUCUAGGAAGACUGGGUGCUGUAGGUA
rnacentral:rRNA from 1 species